UACGGGGGGGGCAAGCGUUGUUCGGAAUUACUGGGCGUAAAGGGCUCGUAGGCGGCCAACUAAGUCAGAUGUGAAAGCCCCAGGCUCAACCUGGGAACUGCAUCUGAUACUGGAUGGCUUGAAUCCGGGAGAGGGAUGCAGAAUUCCAGGUGUAGCGGUGAAAUGCGUAGAUAUCUGGAGGAAUACCGGUGGCGAAGGCGGCAUCCUGGACCGGCAUUGACGCUGAGGAGCGAAAGCUAGGGGAGCAAACGGG
rnacentral:rRNA from 1 species